rnacentral:rRNA from 1 species
GGUGUCGGUUCGUAGGUGACCUGCGGAGGAUCAUUA